UAACCCGUGCACUCAUUUUCCCCCAAUUUGAGCUCCCCCAAAACAACUCCCUCUCGGUUAGGGCCUCACCCACCAUCCGGCCGCACCUCCGGUCACAAUAUAAGCACUGGAGAACACCGCUGUAGCCCGACCUCCUGAAGAACACCUGCAUUUCCCCCAUUUUGUUCUCUCACAAAACCCUCUCGAAGCUAAGCCACAUCCACCAUCCUCCUCGGCGGCAUCGUACCUCCGGUCAUAAUAUGAACACCGAAAAUCAUUACACCACUUACUGCGGUUGAAGGCUCGAGAAAUGGGAGCUUGGUGGGGUUGAUUUCGGCUUAACUGAGAUCUACAUUACUCUGCUGGUCAGUGUGAAAACCAUUAAACGACUUACUGCGGUUGACCGCUCGAGAAAUGGGAGCUCGAUGGGGUUGAUUUCGACUUAACUAUGGUCUGCAUUAAUCUAUGGUUCAGGUUAACUCUGUGACCUCCGGCUAGCAUAUUCAUUACAAAAGUCAGAGAUUAGAAGCACGCAAUUAUAUUGGAAGAGAUUAUGGAAGACGUGUAUGAUGAAUUGUUGGUGGAGUCCGAUAAUGAGAGCGCUGCAAAUAAUAUGAAUAGGGUUGAAAAUGAAACAUCAGGACAAAAUGGUACGAUUGUAGCGGAGAUGGGUAUGAUGUUCAACGAAACAGACAUGUUUGAGAUGUACAAGAGAUAUGCUUAUGAUAUAGGUUUUCCCGUCAGAAGAUGGAACUCAAAAAAAAAGGGGAUGAUGGCAUUCUGAGAUAUGUAACUUUCACAUGCAGUCGUGAAGGCAGAAGAAGUAGUAAUGCAAGUGGGUCUUUAAAGCCUAAACCAAUUAGUCAAACUCACUGUAAAGCAAGGACCUCAUCCUCCUCAGACAGUCAUGGAAGGUGGAGAAUUAACACAGUCCACCUCGAUCACAACCAUGAAACUAGUCCUUCUAAAUCUUGGUUGUAUCGAUGCAAUAGGGAGUUGAGUGCAAAUGUGAAACGUAAACUUGAAGUGAAUGAUGUAGCAGGAUUUCCGUUACAUAAAAGUUACAACUCUGCAGUUGUGGAAGUAGGUGGAUAUGAGAACAUAAUGUGUAUAGAGCAGGAUUGCAUAAACUAUAUUAAACAAGUUAGACGUUCACGACUUGGAGAGGGAGACGUAACUGCAAUACAGUCCUACUUUUCGAAAAUGCAAAGUGCUUGGGAUUUUACUUCAGCAUUGAUUUAGAUGACGUGUUUCAACUAAAGAAUGUUUUCUGCGCGGAUAAUAGGCGUAGGCAAGAGUAUAAAGAGUUCGGAGAUGUUAUGACAUUUGAUACCACUUAUCUCACUAACAAGUACAAUAUGCCGUUUGCCCAUUUCGUUGGAGUGAAUCGUCAUGGCCAGUCAAUAUUGUUUGGUUGUGGUUUGUUAGCUAAUGAGGACACGGAUACGUUUGUCUAGCUAUUCAGGAUGUGGCUUGAGUGCAUUCAUGGACAAGCUCCGAAUGUAAUAGUUACUGGUUAGGAUCGGGCCAUGCAAAACGCAAUUGGGAUCAUUUUCCCAUGCACGAGACAUAGAUGGUGUCUAUGACACAUUUUGAAGAAGUUGCCGAAGAAGUUUGGAUAUCAUGUUGACAAAGGCAGGAUAUUUUCGACUUUCCAUAAUGUGUUUUACGAUUCACGAACUGUUGAAGAAUUUGAAGAAGGAUGGCAACAGACGAUCGAUACAUAUGACUUGCAUGAAAAUGAUUGGUUGUCAGUAUUGUAUCAUAAUAGAGAUCGUUGGGUUCCUUCUUAAGAACCACAUUAUGGGUAUGGAUGUCCACAACUCAACGAAGUGAGAGUAUGAACACGUUCUUCGAUGGGUAUGUGCAUUCGAAGACCUCUUUGAAGCAAUUUGUAGAGUAGUACGAAAUAGCAUUGAGAAGUAAAGUGGAGAAGGAGUUCCACGCUAAUUUCAGGUCAUACUCCCAAAUGGUGCCCUAUGCAACGAAUUAUGAAAUUGAGAAGCAUUUCCAAUCAGUUUAUACCAUUUCAAAGUUCAGAGAAGUGCAAGAUAGUUCAAGGGAAUGUUUUACUAUCCUCGUUUCUUCUUUUGAGGGAUGUUCGGGGACGACAUAUGAGGUGGGUAAGGAUGUGAUGUAUCACGAGCACCGGAGGAAAAAUAAAAUUUUGCCUCAUUUGAUUUGGAGCAGCGUGAAAUAAUUUGCAGUUGCCACUUAUUCGAGUUCAGGGAAUUAUCUGCAGACAUGCAAUUGCGGUAUUGAUUCGAGACGACAUCACACAAUUGCCCGAGAAGUACACACUACGGAAAUGGAGGAGAGAUGUCACUAGAGCAUACACGAGAGUUGUAGUGCACUACGAUGGUUAGGUCAGUACUCCAGGACAGUUGAGAUAUGACAAGAUGUGUAAGGCCUUUUCGCAAGUGGCUUAUCUUGCUACAGAUGACUAAGUCCAGACACAUGCUAUAAUGGACUGGAUAAAAUCUCAAGCUACGGAGCUUAUGUCAACAAAGUUGUGUUCUGGAAAUAGUAUCAUUUCGUAGCAUAUUCUUCAUUUAGCCUCACCAUAUAUUGAUGCGCAAACUACCGGUAGCCAGGGCAUACGGGAUUCGAAAUUAACAAAGCAAAAAGGCACACCAUGAAAGCUUCAAAAAGAAGUCCAUUGGAGUCUACGUCAAAGAAAUCAGGGGUAAUGUAGUAUGUUAGCAUCUCAUUUCUAGUACAAUCUAAAUCUAGUUUCGGGUUUAUAUGUAGGAAACUUCGAAAUCGAAUAAAGGAAAGGGACAGAGAGCUAGACAAAGUAAUAUAGAAGAGGGCGACACCCAAAGUCAAACAUUUACAGAAGACUUGCCGUCAUCGAAUUGGGUCUCGCCAUAGUCAACGAAUGUUGAUCUCAAUGCCGAAGGUCAUUCGUUUUCAUACUUCCAUCCGCAUUUACAGCAUCUAGAUGACCUAAAGUGAUAAAUUGGAGGAUUGCAGCUCCGACAUUAACAAGAAUGAUUAGCAAUUGCAAUCUGGAAGGUUAAUCAGAAGGAGAAGCUAAGCCUCGUGAACGGAGAGAUGUAUAUAUUGUACACGUAACAAGGAUGCAUAUAUUAGUCAGAUAUCGUAUUUUGAUUCAGGAAAUGCGUUCUUCCCUGCUUAUUUUUGGAGUCCAUCACUCAUGAACAUAGCAAUUCAGUAUGCUACUUUACACAUGCAAGACUUGAGUGGCUGCUUGUAUAAGCAUGUUUUUGUUCUUACUGCAUUGCAUGUGUAGUUUCUUAAACAUUGAAUUGGUGGAUGAAUUUGUAGUCGUCAUAUAGAGCAAAUGAGCUUUGUUUUUAUUUUUUAAGUACAUUGGCAUAAAUUAAAUGAAAUGUAGCUUGUUCUUUGGAGUA